GCAUUAUUCUGAACUGAUCCUCAGCACCAUUCUGGGCGGUGGAUCCAUUAGUUUAAAGAGCCCCAUGAGUAAGCAGUGAAAUGGAAGCUGAUUAGCUGUGAGUCAUGGCCCAAGGCUCAGCUGCUCUGGCCCCUGGAUAAAAAAACAGCUUUUCCAGGUGGUCGCCAUGGAGCCCAGAUCGCUGCUUUGUGUUCAGGUACUUAAGAUGCUCAUUUUCCAGGAGACGCAGAAGCUGUGGAGAUAAGGAGCCAGGGAGGCCCCGGCGGGCAGUAGUCACCCAACUCAGGAAUCCUUCUGAGGGACAUUUGUGGAUUAUCUGGGGUCCAGGGGACAGGCUGGUCUUGGGAUGAGAUGUGGCAUGAGAACUGAUCAGUUUCACAAGAGUCCAGCAUCCAGCUUUGUCUACUAUCCCUCUUCAGCUGUUCCAAAUGUCACCAUCCCCUCAUUCAGAGCCCUUCUGAAAAGUCACUUCCUCCAGGAAGCAUCCCCUGAAGAUGUGUUCCUCCACCUUCCGGGUCAUGCCUUUCAUUGGCUACUUCCAGGACCUGUUGAGGUGUUGGGGAAGAAGCCUGGGUUAGUGGAGCCUGAAGUUGGCUCCUGCUAUUGCAGCCUCCAGAGCCCAGAGCUGAGACUUAAAGCAGGCAUAAGGCACUGUUAUCAAAGAAAUUUGGAAAGCAAGCAUCAUCUUUGUUUGAAAGAGACUCAGCAAAGCAACAAACUCAAAAAAUAGGCUCUUCACUGAUGUCAAAGCGUAAACUACGGAGGGUAACAGGGAAUGAAAAUGUUGAAAAUCACCUUGGCUGUCAACGUCACAGCACCAUCUUUGUGGUCAUCACAAAUGUCAUUCUCAUCCUUGUCUUCCUCAUCACUUUCACCACAGUCAUCAACACUGACACAAUCUUCGUCUAUCAUCAUCAUUAAGGUGGAGUCACCUACCAGCUGGUUGCCGAUCUCACCAACCUGCCAACUGUCCAUCCCCUGCCAAUGACACCCUGGAGGGGGGCCCCAACUGAUGGCAGCAGACCGGCGGAGCCUUAAAUAGUACGGGAUCAGUGCCAGGGAUGAUCUUUUCUCUUUUUUAUUAACAUUGUUACCUGAAGUCUA